UAUUUAUGUAUUAUAAUUAAUUAUAUGUGACUUCCAAUCACAAAAUCUGACCUACAGCAUAAAUAU
rnacentral:tRNA from 1 species